rnacentral:lncRNA from 1 species
UCAAUUCAUUACAUUCAAUUACACAUUUCCAUUAUAAUUCCAUCAAGCUUUUCAUAAGCUUUCAAUCCCAAUUCAAUACAUUCAAAUAUCAAACUUCAAUCUUCCACAUUCAUUAUACUUUCUACAUUACAUUACAAUCUUAUAACCAAACCAAUUUAUACAUUUAAUUCCAUUUAAAUUACAAUAACCUAUCCAUAGUAACAAUUUUUAAUUUACAACACUUCCAUUUAAUGGUUCAAUCCAAAAUUACAAAAAUAUUACAAGUUACAGACCAAUUUCCUAUUACAAAAGUUACAUGAAGCAAGAUUAAAUAACGCUUUUUUCAUCCUUCAUGCCAUGCCUAACCUUCAUGUUGCCAAAAGCUUCAAAGCCUACACCAAAUAUGCCACCAUUAGUAAAGACAACCAUAAUCAUAUAAGCAUGAGCAUGUCAUAAAAGCUUUCCAAAACAAGAGAUGUAAUUGCAGCAAUACCAUUUAAUCUACAAUUCCAUACAUUCACAAAUCUCCAUCCACAUUACCAGCAUAAGCAUGAUCCAUUCCAAUCACAAACCAAGCAUCCUAAUAGCAACUUGCAUACAUC